rnacentral:rRNA from 1 species
UACGUAGGGCGCAAGCGUUGUCCGGAAUUAUUGGGCGUAAAGAGCUCGUAGGCGGUUUGUCGCGUCUGCUGUGAAAACUCGGGGCUUAACCCCGGGCCUGCAGUGGGUACGGGCAGACUAGAGUGUGGUAGGGGAGACUGGAAUUCCUGGUGUAGCGGUGAAAUGCGCAGAUAUCAGGAGGAACACCGAUGGCGAAGGCAGGUCUCUGGGCCACUACUGACGCUGAGAAGCGAAAGCAUGGGGAGCGAACAGG